rnacentral:lncRNA from 1 species
UUUAAUAUCUUGUAACUUGAUUCAAUCAAGGGAUUGAAUCAAGGGGUUAAAGGUUUGUUGGUAAGCCAAAGGGAAAACCAACGGUGUAUAGGUUUGUUGGUGAGCCGAGGGUAAAACCAACGUGUAAGGGUUUGAUUGUGAUCCCGGAAAAACAAUCGUGGAGGUUCUAGUCGGUGAGCCUGGGAAAACCGACCGAGUUCGUUGUGCGCUCGUAAAACAACAAGUUGGGUUGUGAGCUUGUAAAACAACCGGCUGUAAUCGGUAGGAUUAUAGUGAAAUUCCCAAGAGGUCUUGGGGAGUGGAUGUAGGUGCUGGGGUGCACCGAACCACUAUAUGUCCUUUGUGUUUGUAAUGCCUCUAGUUAUUGUCUAACUAACACACUUACUUACUUAGAUAAAUUGCUUGCUUAAUUCUUAUCCGCACAUCUUUUAGUUGCAAGCAUAUUUAAUCAAGUCGAAGUCUAUACAUCAAAACCUUGCUAAGUUUAACUUUCACUGUGUAUCUAUACAACUUAGCAUAGUUAAUCAAAAAGUUUUAGAAGUAGCAUAAAAGUUUUAAAAGAUCCAAUUCACCCCCCC